GUGAUUGGCACUGAACACAGGAGUCUCACCAUGGAGUUUGUACUGAGCUGGGGUUUCCUUGUUGCUAUUUUAAAAGGUGUCCAGUGUGAGGUGCAGCUGGUGGAGUCUGGGGGAGGCUUAGUCCAGCCUGGCGGGUCCCUGAGACUCUCCUGUGCUGCCUCUGGAUUCACCUCCAGUGACUACCAGAUGUACUGGGUGCGCCAGGCUUCUGGGAAAGGACCGGAGUGGGUUGGCUAUAUUGGAAGCAAAUCUAACAGUUAUGCGACAGCAUACGCUGCGUCUGUGAAAGGCAGGUUCACCAUCUCAAGAGAUGAUUCAAAGAACACACCGUAUCUGCAAAUGAACAGCCUGAAAACCGAGGACACGGCCCUGUAUUACUGUGCUAGAUACACAGUGAGGGGAGGUCAGUGUGAGCCCAGAUACAAACCUCCCUACGGGGGCGCGCGGGGCCACCAGGGGGCGCUCGGAACCCACUGA